rnacentral:rRNA from 1 species
UGGGGAAUUUUGGACGAUGGGGGCAACCCUGAUCCAGCCAUCCCGCGUGUGCGAUGAAGGCCUUCGGGUUGUAAAGCACUUUUGGCAGGGAAGAAACAGCCCGGGCUAAUAUCCCGGGCGACUGACGGUACCUGCAGAAUAAGCACCGGCUAACUACGUGCCAGCAGCCGCGGUAAUACGUAGGGUGCAAGCGUUAAUCGGAAUUACUGGGCGUAAAGCGUGCGCAGGCGGUUCGGAAAGAAAGGUGUGAAAUCCCAGGGCUUAACCUUGGAACUGCACUUUUAACUACCGGGCUAGAGUACGUCAGAGGGGGGUAGAAUUCCACGUGUAGCAGUGAAAUGCGUAGAGAUGUGGAGGAAUACCGAUGGCGAAGGCAGCCCCCUGGGAUGAUACUGACGCUCAUGCACGAAAGCGUGGGGAGCAAACA